AGAAUCAACGCUGGCGGCGUGCCUAACACAUGCAAGUCGCACGAGAAAGUGGAGCAAUCCACGAGUAAAGUGGCGCACGGGUGAGUAACACGUGAAUAAUCUACCUCCGAGUGGGGAAUAACUGAGAGAAAUCUUAGCUAAUACCGCAUAAUACCCACGGGUCAAAGCAGCAAUGCGCUUGGAGAGGAGUUCGCGGCCGAUUAGCUAGUUGGCGGGGUAAUGGCCCACCAAGGCGAUGAUCGGUA
rnacentral:rRNA from 1 species